UCUUCCGUAGUAUAACGGUCAGUAUACGAGCUUGUCACGCUCGGGAUCCGGGUUCGACCCCCGGCGGGAGAG
rfam:Togninia minima TCRPA7 unplaced genomic scaffold PA7_03_scaffold_73, whole genome shotgun sequence.